AUUCAAAUCUGAAAUUGGAGUCCAAUUUUGCUCCAUCUCUUAUGGAAAGUUGUCCUCCUCUCUUUCUUCCUGAAUAAAACGCUAGGUUCACCUCACCUUCUAGAAAUCUGUGUUUUACAUUAAAUGUUGUGCUAUUUUUUUUUGGCUAAAUAAAACCUUUUGAUAUCAGACACGCUUGCUUCACCUCCCCUUCUACAAUAAUCAAACGCAAAUUAGAAAUACAACUCCCCACAGAUCCAAAACUCUCAGAUUCAACACCUCCAGAACUCACACUUCGACCCCAACAACACACACGAUGACUUCUUGGAGCCUUCGUGUUCUUGGCCUAACCUCAACCCUAAAACCCCGUGGGACCUCAAGCCCAGAGAACUCUCCGAUGAAACGCCACCGUCUAACCCUGACAACAAUGUUCCUUACCAGUUCGACCAUGACUCUUCCACCCUCGCUUCCAAGCUCCAUAGCCACCAGAUUUCUGGCGCUACUAAGUCCUCCUCUGCCGCUGCCAUCAUGCUCCAGCAACAACUCUUCAUGUCUCGCGGUGCCAGCGCUAGAGCCGGCGAGUCUGGUCUGAUAUAGAUGUCGCUUUCUUUGGGUGCCUCCAACGAUGUCGUUGAUGGGUCAUCGUCUUUCAAGUCUCCCAAUACAGGUUUGUAGGUGGAAAGGGAAAUCCUUGCAAGCAAUCCAAGUCUGAGUAGAAGCAGUACUACCAGGUCUUAAUUGCUACUUAGAGCCAGAGAGUAGUUGAAAAGGGGUAGAGACAAAUAAGAAAAUGAAUAUUGAUGAAACUGAGAAAAGUGCAAAUAUUAUCAAGAUCCUAAUGAAAUAGGAGUUGAUGGAAAAUGACAACGGUAGGAAGAAUCAAGAAAUUGAAAACCAAAUGUACACGGCUCAAGGAAAGAGCAAGGCAAUGCAGAUUUCUAUUGGUACUAGCUCUUAUCUUUUAAUGAUUGGUAUUGAGAAAAUUCUAUAAUGGAAGACUUGGAUAGGCCUACCAUAGCCACUUCCUUUGAACUUACAUAGGCUUGGACAUUUGAUCUUGAGGGACCAAUUUUUAGUUUCAAUCAGUGCAAGUACAAAAUAGGGAUUGGCUUUAAGGGAUCUCUUUUUCCUCUCCCCUUACCUCAUGAUAUAUUUUUUGUUUUACUUUGUAUUCUUGGAAUGAAUUGUCCUCUUUGCAAAGUAAAUUGAGGAGUUACAGUAAGAAUCCUAUAAUGGUGAAGAGGUGUUUUGUAUUUUCCUCA